GGGUGCUUGAGGCUAUCUGCCUCGGGCAUGAACACCAACGGCAGAUAGAUAAAAGCCCCACCCGACUAUAAAUCGAAGUGAGGCCCCUAUAUGCUCGUCACAUAUAGAUUGCCUCUUACGGACCGAAAGGUCAAGGAGAAGCAGGCUAUG
rnacentral:antisense_RNA from 23 species